AGGAGGAAAAAAAAGGUAGAAAGAGAGAGAAAGAGAGGUCAAGGGUAGAGAUACAUAGCUUUGUAUAAAGAAACUUUAUGUUUAUACUCCACUAUAUGUUGUUGUGGAGAAUAUAACAUCUUGAAAUGAAAAAACUUUAGACUUAAAAGAAAAAGAGAGAGAGAGAGAGAGACAGAGAUUUGAACAAAGUUUGAACAAACCACUUGAGAUUCAUCCAUGGAUUUUCUUUUCAAAGGUGGUUGCUGAACUGAAACUAGAAGCUAAGGUAGCUUGAAAUGUACAAAGACAGGUAUGUUAAAAAUUCUACUUUGUUUUUGCUAUUUUUACCUCAAAAUCCAUUUCUAACAGCAGUGCCUAAUUAAUCACCUUUGCAUAACACUUCAUCAUCCUUUGCCCUCUCCACUACCCUAUAAUGGACCUUCAAAUCAUGCCUUCUCCCACUUUUACAUUUUCACUCCCCCAAAUCUCUCCAUAUCUUUUAUGCAUUUCAUUAUUUGGUUGGGUUGGACAUGAAUUGGCCAGGUGAUCAAUAAGGAGUCAAACCAUGAGUGUAAUAAAAAAGUUGAGAUAAUAAGUUCGAUCUAGAGUGGUCAACUACUUCAAAUUUAACAUCGUAAAAGACGUGGAAUCAAACAUGAGAUGUUUGCAAGAUUAAGUUGAGCUAGGGUUCCCAGGGAUACAAGCUUGUUAGAGAAGUUUUGGUGUUUGCCUUGAGUUGGGGUGGAGGACUAGUAUGAAAUUAAAGCAUAUAGGCAAGUGCAUGCCUAGUUUUCCCUCUUGGAUUUUGUCUUAUCUUGAAACCUUCCAUUUCUUGGACUAAUUUCUUUGCUUCCAUCUUCUUUCCCUUUCAAAUGUCCAAAGUAUAUGAAGCCUACCUUCUGACUUUAAAUUUUGAGAUGAGAGAAUACUAAAUUUCAUUUUCAUUAAUGACGAGGUUAAUUACUAUCUCUCACACAUCAUUAAGUGAGCAGCUCCAUGACUUGUUUUGUAUAUAUACUAAUUAUUAUUAUUUUUCAAUUUGUUAUAUUCCAUUUGGUUUUAGUUCUUAGUUAGUAAUGAAAGGAAUGGUUGUUUUGGCUCAUGCAACUACAGAAAUAAACUAACAUUGAAAAGUCGUGUAAAGUUUAUGUUAGAUGAUCUAUACUUAUUUUCUUUUAAACAAUUAUGGGUGUAUGUUAAAAGACAAAACAAUGAGUAGUUAAGGGUUAUUGUUGUUACUAUUUCUGUAUGUGAGACAUGUGUAUAAAUCUUGUUGACAGUGCAUGAUCUCUUAGGUUAUAUUUUAUUGUAAAAAAAGCAUUGGAAAUGGAUAGUACAUAUGGGAACUCAUAAAUGGUUUGUGAUAUCA